rnacentral:misc_RNA from 1 species
AUAACAAAAAAGAAGAAAACAGAAAGAACAGAGCUAAUUUUGGAUCCAAAGCACACAGUAUAUUCCCUGGAGCAAGAUUUUUGGAUGUUUUGAAUAGAAAUUCCACUUUUGCAAAAGAAAAUAAGUUUCAACACAUUUCCACCAUUUAGAUAACAAUUUGCAGCUGUGCUUGUUCUUCUACAGAUAUAGUCUAUCAGAGAUAAAAUCCUGUAGUAAUUAAUAUUUACUUCUCCACUUAAACAAAUACCAAUAAGAGUCACUAGCUGGCAGAUUCAUUGUCCUCUAUUGACAGCAAACAUAGACGUACAUUAUAGAGCCACCACAACAUUAGACAAACAUUCUUUUAAACAAGAGGUGGAUACUGCUUAGACUGCAGGCGCACCCUCUUUCGGUACUCCAGAACAUCCUGAAUAAACAUAUGAUACCCUUCAGUUUGGGCAGGAUCAGCAGGGUUUGGCUGAUCUAACAAGUCCUGGAUACCAACCAGUAUCUGUUUCACGGUGAUGGCUGGUCUCCAACCACUGUCUUCAUUGAGGAUCGACAAGCAAACUGUUCCAGAUGGAUAGACAUUGGGAUGGAAAAAGCCUGGUGGGAAUUUACACUUUGGCGGUUUACUCGGAUAAUCUUCACUGAAGUGAAUUGUAAGUGGAUAACAACCACCUUCCCAAUCAGUCUCAGCUUUACCAGGGAUGGUGCAGUGCCAAAUCAUCAAGUUCACUGACCCAUCUGGAAGUGUCUCCGGCUUAGCAACAAAACCAUGGGGAUGAUUCUUUCUCCAAGCUUUGCGUUCCUCAGCAAGACGACCACGAGCAAUCCCUCCCGACAUUGUUGUUUUUUAAGGUUAAUCACUAAAAAAUAUCUCUCAGAAGAGUUGUGUUUCUUCUUGGCUGCCUCCCUUUUAAAAAGGACAAAAUAAAAGAGGGGAGAGUUUUGAUUCUUGAAGCUGUAAA